ensembl:lncRNA SORD2P sorbitol dehydrogenase 2, pseudogene
UGCCCAGCGGCCUUGGGAGCUGAGGAACCAGUGGGGGAGAGGGAGGAGCGGGUGCCACCUUGGCAGUGUCGUGAGUUUCAGCUGGAGUCCGCCAGCCCUCUGCUUCACUGUCAUAGGCAGUGGUCGCCAUGUGGGAAGGGGCAAAAAGAAGCCGAAGCUCAGAGAGGAACAAUGGAUCUGUGUGUGAUUGAUCUACCCAUGGCCACUCGCUCUGGUGGGACCCUCGUGCUUGUGGGGCUGGGCUCUGAGAUGACCACCGUACCCCUACUGCAUGCAGCCAUCCGGGAGGUGGAUAUCAAGGGCGUGUUUCGAUACUGCAACACGUGGCCAGUGGCGAUUUCGAUGCUUGCGUCCAAGUCUGUGAAUGUAAAACCCCUCGUCACCCAUAGGUUUCCUCUGGAGAAAGCUCUGGAGGCCUUUGAAACAUUUAAAAAGGGAUUGGGGUUGAAAAUCAUGCUCAAGUGUGACCCCAGUGACCAGAAUCCCUGAUGUUAAUGGGCUCUGCCCUCAUCCCCAGUCUCGGGAUCUCAGGGCACAAUGGCUGGACAUGGGUGGGCUCUGAUGCAGAACUUUCUCUUUUGAAUGUUAAGAAUA